CCUGACUAGAACCAAAAAAUUUGAUCAUAUUACUCCAGUGUUAGCCUCCCUACACUGGCUUCCUGUUAAGGCAAGGGCUGAUUUCAAGGUUUUACUGCUAACCUACAAAGCAUUACAUGGGCUUGCUCCUACCUAUCUUUCCGAUUUGGUCCUGCCGUACAUACCUACACGUACGCUACGGUCACAAGACGCAGGCCUCCUAAUUGUCCCUAGAAUUUCUAAGCAAACGGCUGGAGGUAGGGCUUUCUCCUAUAGAGCUCCAUUUUUAUGGGAUGGUCUGCCUACCAAUGUGAGAGACGCAGACUCAGUCUCAACCUUUAAGUCUUUACUGAAGACUUAUCUCUUCAGUAGGUCCUAUGAUUAAGUAUAGUCUGGCCCAGGAGUGUGAAGGUGAACGGAAAGGCUGGAGCAACGAACCGCCCUUGCUGUCUCUGCCUUGCCGGUUCCCCUCUUUCCACUGGGAUUCUCUGCCUCUAACCCUUUUACAGAGGCUGAGUCACUGGCCUACUGGUGUUCUUCCAUGCCGUCCAUGGGAGGGGUGCGUCACUUGAGUGGGUUGAGUCACUGACGUGGUCUUCCUGUCUGGGUUGGCGCCCCCCUUGGGUUGUGCCAUGGCGGAGAUCGUUGUGGGCUAUACUCGGCCUUGUCUUAGGACGGACCUGAGCCCUAGGACCAUGCCUCAGGACUACCUGGUAUGAUGACUCCUUGCUGUCCCCAGUCCACCUGGCCGUGCUGCUGCUCCAGUUUCAACUGUUCUGCCUGCGGCUAUGGAACCCUGACCUGUUCACCGGACGUGCUUGUUGCACCCUCGACAACUACUAUGAUUAUUAUUAUUUGACCAUGCUGGUCAUUUAUGAACAUUUUAACAUUUUAACAUUUUGACCAUGUUCUGUUUUAAUAUCCACCCUGCACAGCCAGAAGAGGACUGGCCACCCCUCAUAGCCUGGUUCCUCUCUAGGUUUCUUCCUAGGUUUUUGGCCUUUCUAGGGAGUUUUUCCUAGGGAGUUUUUCCUAGCCACCGUGCUUCUUUCACAUGCUUUGCUUGCUGUUUGGGGUUUUAGGCUGGGUUUCUGUACAGCACUUUGAGAAUAUCAGCUGAUGUACGAAGGGC
rnacentral:lncRNA from 1 species